UACGGAGGGUGCGAGCGUUGUCCGGAAUCAUUGGGCGUAAAGGGCGCGUAGGUGGCGGGACAAGCGUGCGGUGAAAGCUCGGGGCUCAACCCCGCGUCGGCCGUGCGAACUGUUUUGCUUGAGCACUGUAGAGGCAGGCGGAAUUCCGGGUGUAGCGGUGGAAUGCGUAGAGAUCCGGAAGAACACCGGUGGCGAAGGCGGCCUGCUGGGCAGUAGCUGACACUGAGGCGCGACAGCGUGGGGAGCAACAGGG
rnacentral:rRNA from 1 species